rnacentral:rRNA from 1 species
UACGUAGGUGGCAAGCGUUAUCCGGAAUUAUUGGGCGUAAAGAGCGCGCAGGUGGUUGAUUAAGUCUGAUGUGAAAGCCCACGGCUUAACCGUGGAGGGUCAUUGGAAACUGGUCGACUUGAGUGCAGAAGAGGGAAGUGGAAUUCCAUGUGUAGCGGUGAAAUGCGUAGAGAUAUGGAGGAACACCAGUGGCGAAGACGGCUUCCUGGUCUGUAACUGACACUGAGGCGCGAAAGCGUGGGGAGGCAAACAGGAUUAGAUA